UAAAAAGCAGUUUCAGGCCUCCCUUGACAGGCUGAUUUAUGCAGUGGUGAUAUCAUUCUCAGAGUGUUCCAACUUCAAAUGGACAUGAAUUGAGUUACAACUUGGGGGAAAAGGGGAGAGAGCGAAUGCAGUCCCCCACUACCGCAAAUUAUGCAGUUGAGUUUCCCACAUUUGGGAAUUCACAGGGGUCAGCACAUCCAAAGUGUAGUGGAUAAGAUCCACCCUGGAAAACCACCUUAAUGAUUAUGGUAUCUCCCCUGCCAGCCACCAUCAGAUGAAUAGUACUGUUUCAUCACAUUCUCCCACCACUGGAGAACUGCCAAAGAAUCUAAGCAAGGAGGCCAAGAGACCAUGGACUGAAACCACGAGCCAAAACAAAUCUCUCCUCUUUUUAAAUUGUUCGUCUCAGGUAUUUUUCACAC